ACUUGGGACUUGGCACUCCCCUCUCCUAGCCAUCCAUGGACGCUACAGCCCAACGAGCCAUGGCAGUAGACACAAGCAAUGCACCAACCACAUCUUGCUCUUCUUCGUCUUGUACAUCCUCGUCCUCGCUCGUCAAUGAGGCGCCGCAAGAGGCUCCCUGCAAGAAGUCCAAAGGCACGAACAAGCGGAAGAGGGCGUCUUCGCCGGACUCCCAAGAAGUAGAAGCCAACAACAACGGCAGCGCCAAUAACAGUAAUGGCCAGCAAGGCGAGGAGAGCAGCAGCUGCUGCAGCACGGAGGACAACGAGGCGUCGGCGAGUGUCGGCGAAAAGGCCGAGGCGGCGGCGGCCGCCACCGCCACCGGCGCGGCGUCGAGAGCCGGAGCGGGUACAAGCACCCGUCGUACCGCGGCGUGCGGCGGCGGAGCUGGGGCAAGUGGGUGUCGGAGAUCCGGGAGCCCCGCAAGAAGUCGCGCAUCUGGCUGGGCACCUUCCCCACGGCCGAGAUGGCGGCGCGCGCGCACGACGUGGCGGCGCUGGCCAUCAAGGGCCGCGCCGCGCACCUCAACUUCCCGGAGCGCGCGCACGAGCUGCCGCGGCCGGCGUCCACCUCCCCUGCGGACGUCCAGGCCGCGGCGGCCCAGGCGGCCGCGGCCGCGGACGUGCAGUGCGACGCGCCGCCGUCGCCGUCGCCGUCGCCGUCCCCCGAAGCGGCCGCCGCGUCACCGGACGACGCUGCCUGCUGCCUCGAGGCGGCGACGACGACGACGGUGCACAGCGGCGGCGACGGUGGGCAGGGCCAGGAGAACGCGCUGUUCGACCUGCCGGACCUCCUCCUCGACCUGAGGGACGGGCUGUGGUGGCCGCCGGUGUGGCCCGCGGCGGCAAUAAUGGCCGCCGAGGAGUACGACGGCUGCGACGUCGUCGGGAUGCACGAGCCGCUCUUGUGGGCCGAGUAGUUAGUUACUCGAUCGCCUUGCGUUUCUACUACCGAGUGGUGAAGUACAUGGGUCUUCUCCAAGAAAAAGAGUGGAAAAAAAAAACCCACCAGACACAUACUAUAGUAUGUUUACUGUUCUUGAAUUAGCAGUACGAGUAUUGCCUGUCUGUGCUUGAUUUGGGCAUGGAGCAGCUGCCCCGUCGUCCCCCGUGAGUUUUUUUUUUUCUGUACGAGUUUGUGAGGAGUAGAGACGUCGACUGAUAGCAGUCUGCAAAUCGCAAUUAUUUUCUAGU